AUACGGAGGGUGCAAGCGUUGUUCGGGAUCACUGGGCGUAAAGGGCGCGCAGGCGGUUUGGUAAGUCAGAUGUGAAAGCCCAUGGCUCAACCAUGGAAGUGCAUUUGAAACUGUCAGACUUGAGUACUAGAGGGGAAAGUGGAAUUCCCGGUGUAGAGGUGAAAUUCGUAGAUAUCGGGAGGAAUACCGGUGGCGAAGGCGACUUUCUGGCUAGAUACUGACGCUGAGGCGCGAAAGCGUGGGGAGCAAACAGGAUUAGAAACCCCGGUAGUCC
rnacentral:rRNA from 1 species